AUUAAAACUUGGCCACUGUCAUGGAACCAGUACACGUGGAACUGUGUCGGCAAAGCUUAAAAACAACUAAUCCUCUUUUAGUGAUAAAGUUUGCUGCCUUGCUGUCUAUUAUGCAGAUUUGUUGGAUGUCCAUGUGGCUGCCUUAUUGCUUUUGGCAUGAUAAGCUAUUGUCCAUAUUAUAUCAUUAUUAUACAAAUAAAAAAGGUAUUGUAGCAACAAAUUAAUAUCUAAGUAACUUUGAGUACAAGGCUUUUUAUUCCAAUUUGACAAAUUUAUUCAAUUAGAAUGAGCAUGUGGCGAAAUGAUAGUAAAACUAAUUUUUCACCACCUGAUUCACAGCAAGUACCAGAAACAAUCUUUUCAAACAACAUCUCUACAUAAGCUGGAAAAGGUGCUUCUAGCACAGAAUAAGAAUGGCGUUGGAACUUAGAAUUCAGAACAGAAUGCGGCUAAUAAUAAACCAUUGUUCCUCUUUGAUUUUUGUAAGUAUGGAUCCUCUACUGCAUCAAGCACUCUGCGGCAAAGCAAUUGUGAGAAAUAAACUCUGACAGAUAAUCGCUGCUCGUCCUAGUUGCUCCAGAAAUAAUCUCCUUUCCUGAAUCCUGUAAUAAAACCAGAAGUGAUAAGGAAGUAAAAAACAAUCACAUAGCAAAGUGCAGCUAAACAAGAGCUUGUAAAAAUUAAAUAACUUGGUCUCGGGGAGGAAAAAAACUCACAAUAAUUGUUGUGUUUGGAAGAAUGGGAACCUCAGGGCUGAAAAAAAAAUCACUUGCAUAAAGGACCGAAACAAGCAUAGAUUUCCAAGGAAAACAAUAUCCUCAUCCAUUUGCUCAACAGUACACCAAAUCUAUGAGGUUGAAGUUAAACAAUUUAUCAGUUAUGUAUGGUGAUGUGAACAUUACUUCCCAAGAGGCCAUUGUCUUCAAUCUGACAAAAAGGAUGUGCAUUGGACCAUGUAUGUAUUUAAAGGACUAAUGUUAAAAAAAAACUAUCAAAGAGGAAAUUUAUACCUGAGACUGCUUCCAUCUUGGUUCCUGUCACACCCUUGAGGCCCCUGGUUCUUCAUCUGCAAACAGGCUAAAGAAUAUUGAAAUCAAUAAAAGACAUCAAUUUGAUGUGGUGUAUUGUAGAUGUGAAUAUUGAAAUUAAUAAUAUUUAUUGAUGACAUAAUAACAAAGAAAGAAGUAUUUCAGUGACGCACCUGGACACAAAACUCAUGUGAUGUAAGGAAACAAGAGAAGCAUGUAGGAGCGGCACAUCCCUUUUCACUAUGGCCUUAACUAUAUCACCACUAACACUGUGAUCAAUCACC
rnacentral:lncRNA from 1 species